GACGUUGGGCUUCAACUCACGCUUCGUUUGCGGCCCACCUUCGUGUUCUCUGUUUCUCUUCGAUCGGCGGAGGGACGAUCCAGUCUCUUCCCUCUUCGUGCGACGGUGGCUCGAUCGUUUGCGCUUCUUCACACCAUCCGAAACGGUCCGAUUAAAAGCUUUGUGAUUGAUCAGAUUGAUUGACUCCUCCCACGAUGUUGUCUUCAAUACUUUGUAUAAAUACGUUUAUUCCUCCGUUCUUAAGUCCGGUGAGGGCUCUUCCAUCGCCGAGGCUAGGCUUCUGCCGUUCUGUGAGGCGGUGGUGGUGAACUCAUGUGGAUCGACAUGCUAAUGGUGAUAAUCAAUGCAAGCCAUCCCGUGAAAUGCAUCAGUUCUGUCUUCUCCUUCUGAACGCAAAAGUCAUGCCAGCUUGCAUGGAGAAGCAAGUUUUGAAGUUCCUUACUUUGUUUAUGGCUGUGGAGGUUCCACUUGCUAUCCUACGCCACAAGGACCGGCAUAUCUAAGCAAAAGUUUGAAAUAAAGAAGCAUUUGAACAGGCUAAACAAACCCGAUGUCAAGAGCAUUCAGUUCCUUUUUUAGAUGAACCACAAUUACCUUCCUUGGGGACUCUUUGAGGAGGACAAAAGAAGAUGAUAUCUUAAGAGAAAGUUCAUUCAAAAGAUAUGGCAAGACGAUUCGUCAAAAGAAAAAAAGAUAUGGCAAGACGAAGCAUAGAACUUUCCCGUUUCCUAAAUCUGAGGAACCUGGCCUCAUGAACCAAAGUAGUCAUCAGAUGAGUCAAAGCUUUUCUUUUUCUUUGUUGGUUUCUUGGAAGUCUUAUUUCUCUUAUCAAACACAAUUUAUUAUCAGAUACUGUUUGCUCUCCGUUUCUCACAGGUGCAACUACAAAGUGCUUCUUAACCUUCACAUUGAAGUGAUUUUACAUGUUAUAAACGGGCUCAUUGAUCUCUUAUUAUUUUCUUGGAUCCUCACAAACAGAGGUUCGAGUCUUUAUGUCUAUUCCUAGAAUUGUUAAGUCUCAACGGCAUUAUCAGCUGCGAGGGAAUGGCAAAACUGUCAAAUAACACUACCACAAAAACAGAGGACUGUAGCUAUACCACCAGUAAGUUUAGAUAACGUUACCGUGAUGAGAUCUGGUGCCUCUUGGAAGGAGAACCGUAAUAUUGCAGGUUUGGGAUGGGUCAUCUACGGAGAGGAUGGACCGAUGAAGUUCUCAGCAGUGGAAGAGCAUGUCUCCACGCCUUUGUUGGCAGAGAGUAUAGCAAUGAAAGAAUCACUCGCCAAAUGCAAGGAGUUCGCUGUGUCAGACGUGAAGCAGAUUCUAAACAGCUUAUUGCCUGCAUCAGGAAGGAAUUGUAUCGGAUAUUGUAGUUUUAGCUUCAGAUUUUGAGGCCAUCUCUUUUGGAUGGAUCUCCCGUAUGGAAAAUGUUGUUGCAUACA